rnacentral:rRNA from 1 species
GCGCAGCAGUCGCGAAAACUCCGCAAUACGCGAAAGCGUGACGGGGCUACCCCGAGUGUCGUCCGCUGAGGACGACUUUUCCACGCUGUAAGGAGGCGUGGGAAUAAGGAGAGGGCAAGUCUGGUGUCAGCCGCCGCGGUAAUACCAGCUCUCCGAGUGGUAGGGACGAUUAUUGGGCUUAAAGCGUCCGUAGCCGGCUCAGCAAGUCUCCCGUUAAAUCCAGCGAUUUAAUCGUUGGACUGCGGAGGAUACUGUUCGGCUAGGGGGCGGGAGAGGCCGACGGUAUUCUCGGGGUAGGGGUGAAAUCCUAUAAUCCCGGGAAGACCACCAGUGGCGAAGGCUGUCGGCUAGAACGCGCCCGACGGUGAGGGAUGAAAGCUGGGGGAGCGAACCGGAUUAGAUACCCGGGUAGUCC